rnacentral:rRNA from 1 species
GUCAGAGGUGCCGAGCGUUAGGCGGAAUCACUGGGCUUAAAGCGUGUGUAGGCGGACCGUUAAGUACCUUGUGAAAUCCCCCGGCUCAACCGGGGAACGGCUGGGUAUACUGGCGGUCUUGAGCCAUCCAGGGGCAGUCGGAACAGACGGUGGAGCGGUGAAAUGCGUAGAUAUCGUCUGGAACGCCGAAGGUGAAAACAGACUGCUGGGGAUGCGCUGACGCUGAGACACGAAAGCCAGGGGAGCGAACGGG